UGGAUCCAGACUUUGAUCCUGGCUCAGGAUGAACGCUGGCGGCGUGCCUAAUACAUGCAAGUCGAACGAAACUUCUUUAUCACCGAGUGCUUGCACUCACCGAUAAAGAGUUGAGUGGCGAACGGGUGAGUAACACGUGGGCAACCUGCCCAAAAGAGGGGGAUAACACUUGGAAACAGGUGCUAAUACCGCAUAACCAUAGUUACCGCAUGGCAACUAUGUAAAAGGUGGCUAUGCUACCGCUUUUGGAUGGGCCCGCGGCGCAUUAGCUAGUUGGUGGGGUAAAGGCUUACCAAGGCAAUGAUGCGUAGCCGAACUGAGAGGUUGAUCGGCCACAUUGGGACUGAGACACGGCCCAAACUCCUACGGGAGGCAGCAGUAGGGAAUCUUCCACAAUGGGCGAAAGCCUGAUGGAGCAACGCCGCGUGGGUGAAGAAGGUCUUCGGAUCGUAAAACCCUGUUGUUAGAGAAGAAAGUGCGUGAGAGUAACUGUUCACAUUUCGACGGUAUCUAACCAGAAAGCCACGGCUAACUACGUGCCAGCAGCCGCGGUAAUACGUAGGUGGCAAGCGUUAUCCGGAUUUAUUGGGCGUAAAGGGAACGCAGGCGGUCUUUUAAGUCUGAUGUGAAAGCCUUCGGCUUAACCGGAGUAGUGCAUUGGAAACUGGGAGACUUGAGUGCAGAAGAGGAGAGUGGAACUCCAUGUGUAGCGGUGAAAUGCGUAGAUAUAUGGAAGAACACCAGUGGUGAAAGCGGCUCUCUGGUCUGUAACUGACGCUGAGGUUCGAAAGCGUGGGUAGCAAACAGGAUUAGAUACCCUGGUAGUCCACGCCGUAAACGAUGAAUGCUAAGUGUUGGAGGGUUUCCGCCCUUCAGUGCUGCAGCUAACGCAAUAAGCAUUCCGCCUGGGGAGUACGACCGCAAGGUUGCAACUCAAAUGAAUUGACGGA
rnacentral:rRNA from 1 species